CAAGAGUUCAUAUCGACGGCGGUGUUUGGCACCUCGAUGUCGGCUCAUCACAUCCUGGGGCUGAAGUAGGUCCCAAGGGUAUGGCUGUUCGCCAUUUAAAGUGGUACGCGAGCUGGGUUUAGAACGUCGUGAGACAGUUCGGUCCCUAUCUGCCGUGGGCGCUGGAGAAUUGAGGGGGGCUGCUCCUAGUACGAGAGGACCGGAGUGGACGCAUCACUGGUGUUCGGGGUUGUCAUGCCAAUGGCACUGCCCGGUAGCUAAAUGCGGAAGAGAUAAGUGCUGAAAGCAUCUAAGCACGAAACUUGCCCCGAGAUGAGUUCUCCCUGAGACUUUAAGUCUCCUGAAGGAACGUUAAAGACGAUGACGUUGAUAGGCCGGGUGUGUAAGCGCAGCGAUGCGUUGAGCUAACCGGUACUAAUGAACCGUGAGGCUUAACCUUACAACGCCGAAG
rnacentral:rRNA from 1 species